rnacentral:rRNA from 1 species
GAUAAACGCUGGCGGCGCACAUAAGACAUGCAAGUCGAACGGACUUAACUCAUUCUUUUAGAUUGAGAGCGGUUAGUGGCGGACUGGUGAGUAACACGUAAGCAACCUGCCUAUCGGAGGGGAAUAACAGUGAGAAAUCAUUGCUAAUACCGCAUAAGCUAGUAGCAUCGCAUGAUGUAGCUAGAAAAGGAGUAUUCCGCUGAUAGAUGGGCUUGCGUCUGAUUAGCUAGUUGGUGGGGCAACGGCCUACCAAGGCGACGAUCAGUAGCCGGACUGAGAGGUUGAACGGCCACAUUGGGACUGGGAUACGGCCCAGACUCCUACGGGAGGCAGCAGUCGGGAAUAUUGCGCAAUGGAGGAAACUCUGACGCAGUGACGCCGCGUAUAGGAAGAAGGUUUUCGGAUUGUAAACUAUUGUCGUGAGGGAAGAAAUUGACAGUACCUCAGGAGGAAGCUCCGGCUAACUAUGUGCCAGCCGCCGCUGUAA